rnacentral:rRNA from 1 species
UAAUUGGAGAGUUUGAUCCUGGCUCAGAAUGAACGCUAGCGGCGUGCUUAACACAUGCAAGUCGUACGAGAACUCUUUAGCUUGCUAAAGAUAGUAAAGUGGCGCACGGGUGAGUAACGCGUGGGUAAUCUACCUCUGAAUUUGGGAUAACUCCGCGAAAGCGGGGCUAAUACCGGAUAAUAUUUCAGAAUCUUCGGAUCUUGAAAUCAAAAGUGGCCUCUACAUGUAAGCUACUGUUUGGAGAUGAGCCCGCGUACCAUUAGCUUGUUGGUGGGGUAAUGGCCUACCAAGGCUACGAUGGUUAGCUGGUCUGAGAGGAUGAUCAGCCACACUGGAACUGACACACGGUCCAGACUCCUACGGGAGGCAGCAGUGAGGAAUUUUGCGCAAUGGGGGAAACCCUGACGCAGCAACGCCGCGUGAGUGAUGAAGGCUUUCGGGUCGUAAAGCUCUGUCAAGUGGGAAGAAUAUAAUACAUGUUAAUAUCAUUUUUUACUGACGGUACCACUAAAGGAAGCACCGGCUAACUCCGUGCCAGCAGCCGCGGUAAUACGGGGGGUGCAAGCGUUAUUCGGAAUUAUUGGGCGUAAAGGGCGCGUAGGCGGUCUUUUAAGUCAGAUGUGAAAGCCCGGGGCUUAACCCCGGAAGUGCAUUUGAAACUGAAAGACUUGAGUAUGGGAGAGGGAAGUGGAAUUCCUGGUGUAGAGGUGAAAUUCGUAGAUAUCAGGAGGAACACCGGUGGCGAAGGCGACUUCCUGGCCCUAUACUGACGCUGAGACGCGAAAGCGUGGGUAGCAAACAGGAUUAGAUACCCUGG